ACACGCAGAAAAAAAAAAUCAAUCUGGAAAAUUCACUGCGACCUAAAGUUGAGGACAUUAUGUCUCCAGAGUCGGCUUUACCUCUAACACAGAUCACGGUAUAGCAGCAUGUGUGACAGUGAGAGAGGAGGUCUGUUUUUGUCUUUGGUUAUCUAGCUGUAUGAGUGUUAAAUGCCUGUCAUAAAGCUAGAUAACCGAAAGUAGAAAUGACUUCCGUAACGAUCAUUCCUGAGAGAAAAAGAGACCUGACGCUUUCUGAUCGGAUUUUGACUUCCAGUUCAAAAAAAGGUUUUCAAUUAACAACAUCGAAUGAUCUUGAGAAUCCUGAAAAGAGGGUAAAUCAUCAUUAAAAGAAAACGAGCAGAGAGGGAGGAGGGGGGAGGGGGGUGUACGGUCGAUCCGGAAUUGCCACCUCCUCCUCCUCCUCUCUGCACCCUCACUCUUUUUACUCAAGAGCCUCUAAUGCCAUCUGUACUGCCAACGGGAGACACUUUGCCCGUGCCAGGAGGCGGACAAAGACCCUUCCGGAUCCCUGGAGUCUGGGUGCGCUCAGAGGAGCCAUCUUGGGAGACGUUGCCGCGACAUCUAAAAUGGCUGGGCUGGCAUACGAGGACGGGACGGGAUCUGCAAGCCUCUCUGCACUCAACAGGAACCUGCUCUGGCUCAGACCAAACUCACCGAAAGCUCGUCAGACUGUUGAGACUCACAAAAUCAGAACACUGCAAUAAGAGUUUAAUGUUAGUAAGUCCUGCAGAAACAAAAUAUGUAUUCUGUUAGUCUGAUGUGUGUUAAUCACAAUAUGUUUGUUGCAAAGUUUAUUUUAAGUUUCUGUAUUAAUGAUGAAUGAAUGUGUGUGAUUAGAAAUGUUUACCUGUUAUUAUUAUUUUUUAAAUGAAAUAAAAAAAAGACUUGUUUCUCCUACGUAUCACUCAAUACUGUGUGUUUUCAUUGCAAAUGCAUGAUCUCAUUGUUUUAUUAAUGUAUUCAUUAAUUAUUUUUUCCAUGGAAUAUCUAAUGUGAAUUAAUGGGAUAUAAAUGCAUUGCUGAUAAAGUUGAUUUUUAAAAGGUUUACUGUUG